rnacentral:lncRNA from 1 species
CUAAUAGUCAGACAGUACCCACAGUGGAGGAAUGGGGACACCAACUUUCAACCCCAAAUUACUCCUGUCUAAAUGAAAUGUGGGAACACAAAUGGAUCAGAGACUGAAGAAAUGGUCCACCAGUGACUGACUCAACUUGAGACCCAUCCCAUGGGCAUGUAACAACCCUUGACUUUAUUAAUACUGAUGCUGACUGAGACAGAUGCAGGUACUAACAGCCAAGCAUGGGAUUGAGGUAGGAGAUCCCUAUGGAAAAGUUAGGGCAAGGAUUGAAGGAACUGAAAGGGAUGGCAACCCCCACGGAAAGAUCAAGAGUGUCAACAAACUAGAACCUUGGGAGCUCCCAGAGCCUGAGCCACUAACCAAAGAGCAUACACAGGCUGUUCAGAGGCUCCUAGCACAUGUGUAGCAGAGGUUUGUAUUGUCUGGUCUCAGUGGAAGAGGAUGUGUCUAAUUCUGUAGACACUUGAUUCCCCAGGGUGUAUGUGUGUUGGGGGGGGGUACCCAAGAGAUGGGAUACCCUCUCAGAGGUGAAGUACGGAUGGAGGGAAGAGUUCUGCAAGGGAGGAACCAGGAGGGGCAGCAUUUGGGAUGUGAAUUAAUAAAAUAAUUUAAAAAGAAAAAGAAAAAA